rnacentral:rRNA from 1 species
GUGAGGAAUAUUGGUCAAUGGGCGCGAGCCUGAACCAGCCAUGUCGCGUGAAGGAUGAAGGUCCUAUGGAUUGUAAACUUCUUUUGCAGGAGGGUAAAGUGAGCUACGUGUAGUUCAUUGCAAGUACCCUGCGAAUAAGCAUCGGCUAACUCCGUGCCAGCAGCCGCGGUAAUACGGAGGAUGCGAGCGUUAUCCGGAUUUAUUGGGUUUAAAGGGUGCGUAGGCGGACUAAUUAGUCAGCGGUGAAAUUUUGCGGCUCAACCGUAAAACUGCCGUUGAGACUGUUAGUCUUGAGUGCGGUAGAGGUAGGCGGAAUGUGUGGUGUAGCGGUGAAAUGCUUAGAUAUCACACAGAACACCGAUUGCGUAGGCAGCUUACUGGAGCGCAACUGACGCUGAGGCACGAAAGCGUGGGGAUCGAACAGGAUUAGAUACCCGGGUAGUCC